AGAGUUUGAUCCUGGCUCAGGAUGAACGCUGGCGGCGUGCCUAAUACAUGCAAGUCGAACGAAGCGAUUUGGGAAAUUUAUUUUUCAGAUUGACUGAGUGGCGAACGGGUGAGUAAGACAUAAGUAAUCUGCCGUAAAGACUGGGAUAACUUUGAGAAAUUAAAGCUAAGACCGGAUAGGAAUUAUUGAGGCAUCUUAAUAAUUUUAAAGGGGCUUAUGGCCUUGUUAUACGAUGAGCUUAUGGCGCAUUAGCUAGUUGGUAAGGUAAUGGCUUACCAAGGCGAUGAUGCGUAGCCGGCCUGAGAGGGUGACCGGCCACACUGGGACUGAGACACGGCCCAGACUCCUACGGGAGGCAGCAGUAGGGAAUUUUCGGCAAUGGGGGCAACCCUGACCGAGCGACGCCGCGUGAGUGAAGACGGUCUUCGGAUUGUAAAGCUCUGUUAUCAGGGAAGAAUAAGGUUAUCAGGAAAUGGAUAAUCGAUGACGGUACCUGAUCAGAAAGCCACGGCUUACUACGUGCCAGCAGCCGCGGUAAUACGUAGGUGGCGAGCGUUAUCCGGAAUUAUUGGGCGUAAAGGGUGCGUAGGCGGUUAUUUAAGUUUAAGGUUAAAGUUCAGGGCUCAACCCUGUGAUGCCUUAGAAACUGGAUAGCUAGAGUACAGGAGAGGUUAGUGGAAUUCCAUGUGUAGCGGUAAAAUGCGUAGAUAUAUGGAGUAACACCAGUGGCGAAGGCGGCUAACUGGCCUGUAACUGACGCUCAGGCACGAAAGCGUGGGGAGCAAAUAGGAUUAGAUACCCUAGUAGUCCACGCCGUAAACGAUGAAUACUAAGUGUUGGGGUAAAACCUCAUGCUGGCAUUAACGCCAUAAUAAUUCCGCCGGGGGAGUAUGGCCGCAAGCGUAAACUCAAAGGGAUUGACGGGGGCCCCCCCAGCGGGGGGAGAAGUGGGUUUAUUUCAAGGGCACCCAAAAAACCUUUCCCAGUCUUUGACAUGG
rnacentral:rRNA from 1 species